rnacentral:rRNA from 1 species
AGGACGAACGCUGGCGGCGUGCUUAACACAUGCAAGUCGAGGGCACUUUGGGGGCAACUCUGGAGUGACCGGCGAACGGGUGCGUAACACGUGAGCGACCUUGCCUCGUGGUGGGGGAUAGCCGGCCCAACGGCCGGGUAAUACCGCAUAGGGUGGUCUUUUCGCAUGGAAAGACUAGCAAAGCCCUGGAGCAAUCCAGUGGCGCCACAGGGGGGGCUCGCGGCCUAUCAGCUAGUUGGGGGGGUAAUGGCCCACCAAGGCGACGACGGGUAGCUGGU